rnacentral:rRNA from 1 species
UACGUAGGGUGCAAGCGUUGUCCGGAAUUAUUGGGCGUAAAGAGCUCGUAGGCGGUCUGUCGCGUCGGCUGUGAAAACUCGGGGCUCAACUCCGAGCUUGCAGUCGAUACGGGCAGGCUAGAGUUCGGCAGGGGAGACUGGAAUUCCUGGUGUAGCGGUGAAAUGCGCAGAUAUCAGGAGGAACACCAGUGGCGAAGGCGGCGAUCUGGGAAGAUACUGACGCUGAGGUGCGAAAGCGUGGGGAGCAAACAGG